rnacentral:rRNA from 1 species
GACGAACCGUCCGAACGUUAUUCGGAAUCACUGGGCUUACAGAGUUCGUAGGCGGUCCGGCAAGUUGGGUGUGAAAUCCCUUGGCUCAACCAAGGAACUGCGCUUGAUACUGCCGGACUCGAGGGAGAUAGAGGAAAGCGGAACUGAUGGUGGAGCGGUGAAAUGCGUUGAUAUUAUCAGGAACACCGGUGGCGAAGGCGGUUCUCUGGGCCUUACCUGACGCUGAGGAGCGAAAGCGUGGGGAGCGAACAGG